GGUGGAGUGGCGCAAUGGUAGCGUGCGGUCCUCCUACUGGCUUCGGCAAGUUGUGAGAAUCUCGAUAGACUGAGGUUGUGGGUUCGAGUCCCAUCUCCAUCG
rfam:Coniochaeta ligniaria NRRL 30616 unplaced genomic scaffold CONLIGscaffold_6, whole genome shotgun sequence.